GUAAAUAUAAGUACAAGACUUGACUCACUUAAAUUUAUUUGAUUAAUUCUUUAUAGGAAAAGAAAAGAGGGUCCAGGACAUAGCCACAUGGGAUAUCUAUGAUUACAGGAUGUGACCUGAAUGAAUACUAAGCAAAAGGGACUGAGAUUGAAAAGUCAGAUAGGUAGAUAAACAACUAGGAGAGUAGUAUUCUGAAAAAAUAGAGAGAAGAGAAUAUCAAGGAGAAGAGAGAGAAUGGCAGUGUUAAAGGCUUCAGAGAGAGCAAGAUUCCUCACCCCUCACUCGGUUCUGAGAAGUUCUGGGCUCUGCUUGUUAAAGGAUUCCAAUCGGACCUUCACAAUGAAGCUCAUCACAGGUCUCUUCCUCAUCUCCUUUAUCUUGUCUGUUGACAGUUCUAAGAUGGACAUAAUCAUCAGUGCAGCUGAAACUGCUGCACUUAUUGUGAAGGAAAGUUGUCAGAAAUAUUGUGAUGGAGAGAUAGAAAUUGAAGAUACUAUACCUGAAGGUGCUGAUCCAGAAGAAUACAACAGCAUAAGGGAUGAACACUGGAAAAUAUUCAUGGGGGAACUAAACAAACAGAUGCACCACUAAAAAGCCAUGAGGUCAAGGUGACAAAUGAUCUCAAUCCCAAUUCAAACUACCAAUGAAGACUCUCAAAUUUUAAUUUGUCUUUUCCUUCUUGCUCCCUCUUCCAUGCAGCCUAUAAACUCUGAUAGGAGUAAACUUUUCAUUCAUUUAUCCUAACUGUGAAGGAUUGUAGAUAUUAAUAUAGAUGCUUUAAUAAACAUCAGUGCUGAACAUGAGAUUCCGUGAGU
rnacentral:lncRNA from 1 species